rnacentral:rRNA from 1 species
GACGAACGCUGGCGGCGUGCCUAAUACAUGCAAGUAGAACGCUGAAGGAGGAGCUUGCUUCUCUGGAUGAGUUGCGAACGGGUGAGUAACGCGUAGGUAACCUGCCUGGUAGCGGGGGAUAACUAUUGGAAACGAUAGCUAAUACCGCAUAAGAGUAGAUGUUGCAUGACAUUUGCUUAAAAGGUGCAAUUGCAUCACUACCAGAUGGACCUGCGUUGUAUUAGCUAGUUGGUGGGGUAACGGCUCACCAAGGCGACGAUACAUAGCCGACCUGAGAGGGGGAUCGGCCAAACUGGGAAUGGGACACGGCCCAGAAUCCUAAGGGAGGCAGCAGUAGGGAAUCUUCGGCAAUGGACGGAAGUCUGACCGAGCAACGCCGCGUGAGUGAAGAAGGUUUUCGGAUCGUAAAGCUCUGUUGUAAGAGAAGAACGAGUGUGAGAGUGGAAAGUUCACACUGUGACGGUAUCUUACCAGAAAGGGACGGCUAACUACGUG